UACGUAGGGGGCAAGCGUUGUCCGGAUUUAUUGGGCGUAAAGAGCGUGUAGGCGGCCUUACAGGUCAGCUGUGAAAACUCGAGGCUCAACCUCGAGAUGUCGGCGGAAACCAUCUGGCUAGAGUCCGGAAGAGGAAAGUGGAAUUCCUGGUGUAGCGGUGAAAUGCGCAGAUAUCAGGAAGAACACCCGUGGCGAAGGCGGCUUUCUGGGACGGUACUGACGCUGAGACGCGAAAGCGUGGGGAGCGAACAGG
rnacentral:rRNA from 1 species